rnacentral:rRNA from 1 species
CCUACGGGUGGCAGCAGUGAGGAAUAUUGGUCAAUGGACGCAAGUCUGAACCAGCCAUGCCGCGUGCAGGAAGACGGCUCUAUGAGUUGUAAACUGCUUUUGUACGAGGGUAAACGCAGAUACGCGUAUCUGUCUGAAAGUAUCGUACGAAUAAGGAUCGGCUAACUCCGUGCCAGCAGCCGCGGUAAUACGGAGGAUUCAAGCGUUAUCCGGAUUUAUUGGGUUUAAAGGGUGCGUAGGCGGUCGGAUAAGUUAGAGGUGAAAUCCCGAGGCUCAACUUCGGAAUUGCCUCUGAUACUGUUCGUCUAGAGAGUAAGUGCGGUAGGCGGAAUGUAUGGUGUAGCGGUGAAAUGCUUAGAGAUCAUACAGAACACCGAUUGCGAAGGCAGCUUACCAGGCUCCUUCUGACGUUGAGGCACGAAAGCGUGGGGAGCAAACAGGAUUAGAUACCCCUGUAGUC